rnacentral:lncRNA from 10 species
CCGAGCCCCCUCUGGGCACCACCUCCUCCUCCUCCGAGUCUGCCUCUUGGUACCUGGCCAGACGCUGCGCUGCGGGGAGAGGGCGCAGGGUGAGGCAUCAUGGGGGAAGGCUGGGCGGAGCAGAAAGAAACCAUUCAGUGUGUUUUAGGUUCCGCGAGGCUUCCGGCAGGGCAGCCCCACAGGAUUCACCACCCUUGCUCUCUAAUAGCAAGGCACGGAGAACAUCCUCAGUCAGCUGCAACCUGGGGAGGUUGAUAUUCUCAACUCUGUUUCACAGAGACUGACUUUCAUCUCAGAGAACGGAGGACAGCUUGUUUCACCGUGGAUGAGCAAAAUGGAGACCAUUCAUGAGGAUUACUUAUCAGAACAACCGUUUAAUCAGAACUUCAAGCACAGGCAUGGUGCUGAGUCAAAGCAGCAGGGGCCUGUCAAGAGGCCGGAGAAGGAGAUACUUAUGGAGCCGGCCAGCCGCGUGGACCACUGCGCAUCUCUUAAUAGACCCUCUGUGAGAGAUGAGAAAAAUGGGGAUAAAAAAGGGGAAGUCACCUGCCCACCAUCACAAGGCUGAGUACUUGCCAAUGCCAGGAUUCCAACUCAGGGAGAUCCUAAUUCCAGGAGCAGAUGCCCCGCAAAUGCCUCCCCAGCUCUCGGGUGGCAUCAGCCCAGUGCACCGGAAGCAAGGACGCACAGAACCUGGACACAUGACUCUGUCCAGCAUGAGGUGAGGGGCUGGGCUUCAGCUGCCAAGAAAGUGGACUGGCCCAUCCCACCCUCCCCCAGCAGUGGUCCCGCACAUCCGGAGCUCCAUGGAGCCAUCCUUCAGGGCCCCCUCCUUCCCUCAGAGGCUGUGGGGGCCACGGCUGGUAUGUUGGUGUUCUGAAGCAGUUUCUGAUCGGCAGUGGCCCCUGGGAUGCCUUCCAUGUCCCCAGGAAAGAUGAGGCCCAGGAGCAGGUAAUGCCCCCUCCUGGGCAUGCACAGCCAGCUAGCUCCAGGUCAUCUUGCCAAGCUGUCAGAGGGGGCACACCCAAGGCUUCCACAGCCGGUUCUGGUACGUGAGCAGGGCUUGGGGCUCAGAGUCCAUCUGAACUCCUUUAUGAGUGACAUCUGGAGAGGUCAGAUCAUAAGAUAACUGGCUGAUGACGCUCCUUGCCUGGGUGCCUGUCAAUAGCUAGCUGAUCCAGGCACUUCUCUAAAACACGCUGCUGAGAUGUAUGUGGUUUCAUUCAUCACCAGGAAGCUCCCUGUGUCUUGAGGCAAGGAAACCCUCUGGUUUUAUGGUAGCAUUUGGCAACUGUCAGAAUCUUUCUGUAAUCUUAGUUGGGAUCCUGCCCCUGGGAGCCUAAGCUUCCAACUUUAUUAUUAUCUUUUAAAUGUAUUAUUAUUAUUAAUGGAUAAAUCAGUACUGUAUACAUUCAUGGGGUGCAAUGUGAUGUUCUGAUGUAUGUGUACAAUGUGGCAUGAUUAAAUCAUGCUAAUUAACAAAUCUGUCACUUUGCUUGCCUAUCAUGUUUUUAUGAUGAGACAGUUAAAAUUUACUCUCUGAGUCGUUUUGAAAUGUGUAAUACAUUUUUAUUGCCUCUGGUCACCUGGCUGUGCAACAGAUCUCAAAACCUAUUCCUCGUGUCUAUCUGAAACUGGGUCUCGGCUUUAAGGGCUGCUGUAGAACCGACUGCCCGGGUCUCUGAUCCCCUCAGGACUCUGCUGAGUUCUGUUUUUGAGAAGAGCACAAUGCACUGUGCUGUACCAGGUUUAGCAACUAUGGGAGGGGAAGGGGAGGAAGGAGGGAGAGGAGAGGAGGGUAGGAGAAGGGAAAAAGAGAGGAGAGGGAGGCCGAAGGAGGCUGGUGGGAGGGAGGAUGGGUGAGUGGAUGGAGUACUGUCAUGAUUAUCUAUUUUGGGUGGCAAAUAAAACUUUAAACAAAGUGGGUAAUUUCCUCUGCCUUCUGUUUACUAUGACUGCUUUCAUUUUGUGUUGAGGAAGACUGUGGCUAUCAUGAUAAUCCUUGGUUUUAUAAAUCUCACAAAAGUGUCAAGUAAACAACAGAUGCUUCCCACCAAAUCCUUCUAAAGAGCAGCUUCCUAGUCAUGCCCGCUUGCGUUCCCUCUGUCCGGUUUUAAUUUGCUGUUUCUGUAGCAUGGACUCUGUUUCUGUCACAGGCAGGAAAUGGACCCCAGGCUGCAGUGCAGGGUGCCCACUCCCAGGGCGCUGCAGCCCCAGGCACAGUGGUGGCGGGGACCCUGGUCCAUGCCCUCUCCUGACUGGGGUGGGGCGCUGGCUGCAGUCACACCCUGGGAUUCAGAAGCUGGUGUCUCCCCAGAGACACCAGGUUGGAAGGAGGCAGCCACAGAUAAGGAAGGGAGAGGUGGGAGUGGGGACCGCUUCAAUAAUUGGGAGUGAGGCGAUUCAUCUUUCUAGUUCCCAGGAACACUGUUCCAGGGAAGAGAACGAAACAUGAAUUAGCCAGUGCCCUUCUGAGGAUUUUAUGACUAGAAAAUGGAUGGAUGACAACAGAGACAUCUCUCUGUCCCUUGGUGUGGCAGAGCAAGGGGACCGGAUGCCUUGGGAGUGAGCUCCUUGCGGGUGGCUUGCCUGAUUGCUUAGGCGGAUGCCUGGCACCCCAGACACUGCAGGAACAGGGCGGGCGGCCGUGCCAGUGCCUGUUCUAUAAAUAGCACCGGGCUUCAGGCACCUGAGCUGCUGUGACAGCCACGUCUUUAUACUCCCUUGAAAAUC